rnacentral:misc_RNA from 1 species
UUAAUUCUAGGUUUAAUUCAGACACAGACGAUAUAUUGCAUAAAUACGACGCCAAGGCGCCGAAGCACGGCUAUAUUCCACGGGUUUUGAAGUUGAAGGCCGAAGCCAUUCGUUAAUGAUCCCUCCGCAGGUUCACCUACGGAGA